rnacentral:misc_RNA from 1 species
UCAAACUUGGUCAUUUAGAGGAAGUAAAAGUCGUAACAAGGUUUCCGUAGGUGAACCUGCGGAAGGAUCAUUAGAAAUGUUUUGUUUACCCAAGUUUCUCUAAGGCUUCAAUUUCAUUUUCGGCCUCGAAAGAAGCUGGAAUGGGGUUGGGCUGGAAGGAGCUUUGGGCACAUCAUUUCCCGGUAUUUCUUUGCUUGCAAAGAUUGCCGGAAACCCCAGAUUUGAAGAGAAAGAGUUUUUUUAUUAAUUCUUUUUUUCUUCAAUUAUCUACCCCUUAAUCUUAACUUUUUUAAAAGUCUGAACCUAUAUAAUAAAAAAUAACUAAAACAACUUUCAACAAUGGAUCCCUCGACUCUCCCAUCGAUGAAGAACGCAGC